AUUGAACGCUGGCGGCAGGCCUAACACAUGCAAGUCGAACGGUAACAGGAAGCAGCUUGCUGCUUCGCUGACGAGUGGCGGACGGGUGAGUAAUGUCUGGGAAACUGCCUGAUGGAGGGGGAUAACUACUGGAAACGGUAGCUAAUACCGCAUAACGUCGCAAGACCAAAGAGGGGGACCUUCGGGCCUCUUGCCAUCGGAUGUGCCCAGAUGGGAUUAGCUAGUAGGUGGGGUAACGGCUCACCUAGGCGACGAUCCCUAGCUGGUCUGGGAGGAUGACCAGCCACACUGGAACUGAGACACGGUCCAGACUCCUACGGGAGGCAGCAGUGGGGAAUAUUGCACAAUGGGCGCAAGCCUGAUACAGCCAUGCCGCGUGUAUGAAGAAGGCCUUCGGGUUGUAAAGUACUUUCAGCGGGGAGGAAGGCGAUAAGGUUAAUAACCUUGUCGAUUGACGUUACCCGCAGAAGAAGCACCGGCUAACUCCGUGCCAGCCGCCGCAGUAA
rnacentral:rRNA from 1 species